rnacentral:rRNA from 1 species
GAUGAACGCUGGCGGCGUGCCUAAUACAUGCAAGUCGAGCGAACAGACGAGGAGCUUGCUCCUCUGACGUUAGCGGCGGACGGGUGAGUAACACGUGGAUAACCUACCUAUAAGACUGGGAUAACUUCGGGAAACCGGAGCUAAUACCGGAUAAUAUAUCGAACCGCAUGGUUCAAUAGUGAAAGACGGUUUUGCUGUCACUUAUAGAUGGAUCCGCGCCGCAUUAGCUAGUUGGUAAGGUAACGGCUUACCAAGGCAACGAUGCGUAGCCGACCUGAGAGGGUGAUCGGCCACACUGGAACUGAGACACGGUCCAGACUCCUACGGGAGGCAGCAGUAGGGAAUCUUCCGCAAUGGGCGAAGGCCUGACGGAGCAACGCCGCGUGAGUGAUGAAGGUCUUCGGAUCGUAAAACUCUGUUAUUAGGGAAGAACAAAUGUGUAAGUAACUAUGCACGUCUUGACGGUACCUAAUCAGAAAGCCACGGCUAACUACGUG